GUCGGGUCGAGGCGCCGUGCGCAGGCGCGGAGAGAACUAAGUGGUUGACGCUUUCUGGGAGGGAUGCCGUACGCCCGUUCUGGAGGCUGGAAGUCCGAAAUAAAGGUGUCAGCAGAAUCAUGUUUCCUCUGAGACUAGAUUCUUUUCCACUGUAGGUUAUUACAAGAUACUGAAUAUAGUUCUCUGUGCUAUACAGAUGGAUGGAUGUAAUGGCAUCUAGCACGGAAUCCUGGAACAGAAAAAGGACCUCAGCAAAAAAAAGUAAGGAAAUCUGAAUAAAGGAUGGACUUUGGUUAAUAAUAAUAUAUCAAUAUUGGUUCAUUAAUUGUUCCAUGUGGGUCAUACUAAUAUGAGAUGUUAAAAGGCUUAGUUUUUUGGGAUGGUAUAACUGUUCUAUGUUGAUUGUGAUGAAUCUACUAGUGUGUUAAAAUUCAUAUAAAUGUACAGCAAAAAUAGCCAAUUCUUCCUUCCUUCCUUCCUUCCUUCCUUCCUUCCUUCCUUCCUUCCUUCCUUCCUUUCUUUUUAGCUGCAUUGGGUCUUCAUUGCUGCUUGCAGUCUUUAGUUGCAGAGAGAGGGGGCUACUCUUCGUUGUGGUAUGCAGGCUUCUCAUUGCGGUGGCUUCUCUUGUUGUGGAGCAUGGGCUGUAGUUGCGUGGGCUCUAGUUGUGGCCCACGGGCUUAGUUGCUCUGCGUCAUAUGGGAUCUUCCCGGACCAGGGAUUGAACCUGUGUCCCCUGCAUUGGCAGGCGGACUCUUAACCACUGUGCCACCAGGGAGUGGGGCUACUCUUUGUUGUGGUGUGCAGGCUUCUCACUGCGGUGGCUUCUCUUGUUGCGCAGCAUGGGCUCUAGAUGCACGGGCUUCAGUAGUUGCGGCACGUGAGCUCAGUAGUUGUGGCUCGUGGGCUCAGUAGUUGUGGCUCGCGGGCUCUAGAGUGCAGGCUCAGUAGUUGUGGCAAUGGGCUUGGUUGCUCUGCGGCAUGUGGGA